rnacentral:rRNA from 1 species
GACAGAGGGUGCAAACGUUGUUCGGAUUUACUGGGCGUAAAGGGCGCGUAGGCGGCCACCGCAAGUCGGUUGUGAAAUCUCUGGGCUUAACCCAGAAAGGUCAACCGAUACUGCGGGGCUAGAGUGCAGAAGGGGCAACUGGAAUUCUCGGUGUAGCGGUGAAAUGCGUAGAUAUCGAGAGGAACACCUGCGGCGAAGGCGGGUUGCUGGGCUGACACUGACGCUGAAGCGCGAAAGCUAGGGGAGCGAACGGG